rnacentral:rRNA from 1 species
AUUGAACGCUGGUGGCAUGCUUUACACAUGCAAGUCGAACGGUAACAGGCCGCAAGGUGCUGACGAGUGGCGAACGGGUGAGUAAUGCAUCGGAACGUGCCCAGUCGUGGGGGAUAACGCAGCGAAAGCUGUGCUAAUACCGCAUACGAUCUAUGGAUGAAAGCGGGGGACCGUAAGGCCUCGCGCGAUUGGAGCGGCCGAUGUCAGAUUAGGUAGUUGGUGGGGUAAAGGCCUACCAAGCCGACGAUCUGUAGCUGGUCUGAGAGGACGAGCAGCCACACUGGGACUGAGACACGGCCCAGACUCCUACGGGAGGCAGCAGUGGGGAAUUUUGGACAAUGGGCGCAAGCCUGAUCCAGCAAUGCCGCGUGCAGGAAGAAGGCCUUCGGGUUGUAAACUGCCUUUGUACGGAACGAAACGGCCUGGGUUAAUACCCUGGGCUAAUGACGGUACCGUAAGAAUAAGCACCGGCUAACUACGUGCCAGCCGCCGCCGUAAUAC